GACGAACGCUGGCGGCGUGCCUAAUACAUGCAAGUCGAACGCAGUGGGGACGGGUGAGUAACACGUGGGUAACCUCCCAUCAGAGGGGAUAACACUUCGAAACAGGUGCUAAACCGAUCCGGAUGGAUGAACCCGCGGUGCAUUAGCUAGUUGGUGAGGUAACGGCUCACCAAGGCCACGAUGCCUCGCCAUCCGGAGAGGGUGAUCAGCCACACUGGGACUGAGAAACGGCCCAGACUCCUACGGGAGGCAGCAGUAGGGAAUCUUCGGCAAUGGACGAAAGUCUGACCGAGCAACGCCGCGUGAGUGAAGAAGGGUUUCGGAUCGUAAAACUCUGUUGUUAGAGAAGCGGUAUCUAACCAGAAAGCCACGGCUAACUACGUGCCAGCCGCCGCGGUAAUAC
rnacentral:rRNA from 1 species